AUUUGGUAUUCCACCAUCUUAUCGUUCUCUCUCCCCAAUUGGUCCGUGUGCUUGCUUUCUCUGUCAAAGCUUCAAUUUUUUUGUAUUCCUGAGCCUUCUCCAACGUUGUUUUCUCUUGGUUUUCUUGCAUUUUGGGUUCAGAUCUGUAGCAUUGGGUAUCUUUGUGACUGACAACAACUUUAGAAGACAACAAAUAGUGUCCGACAUUUGGAGGACAGAUCUGUAGCAUUGAGUAUCUUUGUGACCAACAGCAACAACGAAGACAACAAAUAGUCUCUGGCAUUUGGAGGACAGGUUUGUGAUGUAUUUCAUUUCUCCUUUGGAUUUCUGGGUUCUGUCGGUACAAAAGAUUGAUUUUUUUUGUGUUCCUCAGUCUUAUUUGACCGUGGUUGAGUAUUCUUCUUCCUUUGCAAGACAAAAGCCACAAAUCAUAGUAUGUUGGAUAGAUUACAAGUUUGUUUUCCCUCCCUGUCUUCUUCUGCAUUUUCUUUUUACCUCUUUUGGCAUUUGUAUGCGUUUUUUUUAUUUCAGUUUUUUGUUUUUUUCACUGCAUGUUCAUUGUUUCUUCUAAAGCUACGAUUUUUUUCUCCGAAAAGCUUUGCUUUUUGGGUUCUGAUGGUACAAAAUAUUGAUUUUUUUUCUCAGCCUUAUUUGACUGUGGUUGAGUAUUGUUCUUCCUUUGCAUUUCGUGUUUCUUUUGUUCUGCCUUUAUUUUGUUUUGUUAGUUCUCGCAGUGAAAAAGAUUUAAUUUUUUGUUGUUCCUGAACUAUGUUGACCUUUUUGGUGUUCUUGAACAUUCUUCACCAUGCUUCGUUUUCUUUGUGGGAGAAAGCUUCGUUUUCUUUGCUCACAAUGCUGAUGUGGACGCAUCCGUGCUUACGUUCGACAAUGUCAAGAGCCUUUGCUUACGUUUGGCAAUGUCAAGAGCCUUCAUUCCCACCCAAAAACAUCGGUGUCAACCUCCAUUUAUUAUUUUUAUUAAUUAAUUAAUUAAUAUUAAUGAUUUUGAUUAAUUUUAA